rnacentral:rRNA from 1 species
UACGUAGGGUGCGAGCGUUAAUCGGAAUUACUGGGCGUAAAGCGUGCGCAGGCGGUUUUGUAAGACAGGCGUGAAAUCCCCGGGCUCAACCUGGGAAUUGCGCUUGUGACUGCAAAGCUGGAGUGCGGCAGAGGGGGAUGGAAUUCCGCGUGUAGCAGUGAAAUGCGUAGAUAUGCGGAGGAACACCGAUGGCGAAGGCAAUCCCCUGGACCUGUACUGACGCUCAUGCACGAAAGCGUGGGGAGCAAACAGG